UCUGGGCUCAGUGGUGCAUGCCUGUGAUCCCAGCGGCUUGGGAGGAUGAGACAGGAGGAUCUCGAGUUCAAAGCCAGCCUCAGCAAACGUGAGGCACUAAGCAACUCAGUGAGACCCUGUCUCUA
rnacentral:sRNA from 1 species